rnacentral:rRNA from 1 species
GACGAACGCUGGCGGCGUGCCUAAUACAUGCAAGUCGAGCGGACUGAAUGGGAGCUUGCUCUUGUUCGGUCAGCGGCGGACGGGUGAGUAACACGUGGGCAACCUGCCCGCAAGACCGGGAUAACUCCGGGAAACCGGAGCUAAUACCGGAUAACACCGAAGACCGCAUGGUCUUUGGUUGAAAGGCGGCGCAAGCUGCCACUUGCGGAUGGGCCCGCGGCGCAUUAGCUAGUUGGUGAGGUAACGGCUCACCAAGGCGACGAUGCGUAGCCGGCCUGAGAGGGUGACCGGCCACACUGGGACUGAGACACGGCCCAGACUCCUACGGGAGGCAGCAGUAGGGAAUCUUCCGCAAUGGGCGAAAGCCUGACGGAGCGACGCCGCGGGAGCGAAGAAGGCCUUCGGGUCGUAAAGCUCUGUUGUGAGGGACGAAGGAGCGCCGUUUGAAGAAGGCGGCGCGGUGACGGUACCUCACGAGGAAGCCCCGGCUAACUACGUG